CCCCUGCACACAGAUAUGCAACGUAAGUGCUCCAACUUAAAUCUAAACCAAUUCCUUCCACUCAAAAUACAGUGGUGCCCCACAAGACGAAUGCCUCACAAGACGAAAAACUCGCUAGACAAAAGGGUUUUGCGUUUUUUGAGUCGUUCCGCAAGACGAAUUUCCCUAUGGGCUUGCUUUGCAAGACGAAACGUCUUGCGAGUUCUUGCGAGUUUGUUUCCUUUUUCUUAAAGCCGCUAAGCUGUUAAUAGCCGCUAAGCCGUUAAUAGCCGCUAAGCCGCUAAUAGCCGCUAAUAGCCGUGCUUCGCAAGACGAAAAAACCGCAAGACGAAGAGACUCG